AUCCUUUUCCGGUUCAUAAGAGUGAUGAUUGGGUUCUCACGAGUGUGUCAUGUGCCUCCCUCGAAACCUUGUUAGGACGUGGGUACAUUACAAGUCUGAUG